AAGCCGUACACAGAUUUACAUAGAGACGAUUUGCAUUUCAGCACAAGCUUCAGGAGGUUUUAUAACUCUGUGAGUUUGAGAAUCUGAACAACAGCAACCAUGAGCUUCAUCACCAUCUUCAUCUGGAUCUUCACCAGCUACUGUUUCACAGAAUCAGCAGCUGGAGUGACAGUCACUCAGACGCCUGCAGAGAAACCUGUUCAACCAGGAGACAAAGUUACCAUGUCCUGUAAAACCAGUCCUGAAGUUUACCAGGGAUGGGGUGUUCAGCCUUUACACUGGUACUUACAGAAACCUGGAGAAGCUCCUAAACUCCUGAUUUAUGAUGCAAACCGUCUCCAGUCAGGAACUCCAUCUAGAUUCAGUGGCAGUGGAUCUAACAGUGAUUUCACUCUGACCAUCAGUGGAGUCCAGACUGAAGAUGCUGGACAUUAUUACUGUCAGAGUGUUCACUGUCCUAGUAGCUGUGUGUUCACACAGUGAUAAAGCGUGGUACAAAAAC